AUGCCCUAGUAACGGCGAGUGAAGCGGCAACAGCUCAAAUUUGAAAUCUGGCCCUCUGGGCCCGAGUUGUAAUUUGUAGAGGGCGCUUUGGUGUUGGCCCCGGCCUAAGUUCCUUGGAACAGGACGUCACAGAGGGUGAGAACCCCGUACGUGGCCGGCGGCCUUCGCUGUGUAAAGCCCCUUCGACGAGUCGAGUUGUUUGGGAAUGCAGCUCUAAAUGGGAGGUAAAUUUCUUCUAAAGCUAAAUACUGGCCAGAGACCGAUAGCGCACAAGUAGAGUGAUCGAAAGAUGAAAAGCACUUUGGAAAGAGAGUCAAAAAGCACGUGAAAUUGUUGAAAGGGAAGCGCUUGCAGCCAGACUUGCCUGUAGUUGCUCACCUGGGCUCUUGCCCAGCGCACUCUUCUGCGGGCAGGCCAGCAUCAGUUCAAGCGGUCGGACAAAAGCCCUAGGAAUGUGGCUCCUUCCGGGGAGUGUUAUAGCCUAGGGCAUAAUGCGGCCAGCUUGGACUGAGGUCCGCGCAUUUGCUAGGAUGCUGGCGUAAUGGUUGUAAGCGGCCCGUCUUGAAACACGGACCAAGGAGUCUAACAUCUAUGCGAGUGUUUGGGUGUCAAGCCCGAGCGCGAAAUGAAAGUGAACGGAGGUGGGAACCCCCCGGGGCGCACCAUCGACCGAUCCUGAUGUCUUCGGAUGGAUUUGAGUAAGAGCAUAGCUGUUGGGACCCGAAAGAUGGUGAACUAUGCCUGAAUAGGGUGAAGCCAGAGGAAACUCUGGUGGAGGCUCGCAGCGGUUCUGACGUGCAAAUCGAUCGUCAAAUUUGGGCAUAGGGGCGAAAGACUAAUCGAACUAUCUAGUAGCUGGUUCCUGCCGA
rnacentral:rRNA from 1 species